CAAAGGGGUGCCCUGACGGGCUGAGAUCAUACCCUCGAACCUGAUGCAGUUAGUACUGCCGUAGGAAUUGGUUAUUUUU
rnacentral:ncRNA from 1 species